UGAUUUUACUCUUUCCUAUUUUUUUAUUUGAUUCAAACUUAUAAUAUUACUCUUCAAUCGUUUCCUAUUUUUUUGAUUUGGUUCCCAUAAAAUCUGCAAUUAAAUCAUUAGUUUCCAAACCCAAAUAAAGAAUCUGCCUCUUCUUUCUUCUCUCUCUCUCUCUCUCUCUCUCUCUCUCUCUCUCUCUCUCUUCCAACAAAUCUGACAAUUUCUUUCGCCACCAAGUUGCCAUUCCUCACGACAACCACCACUACGAUCAUCCAUCUCCACAGCCGUCACUGCACCCCACUGACCUACAAACUCACCCUCAUCGACAGAUCUGGAAAUUAGCAAGAACAGACAAAGGUAUGUCUUUAAAUCGUCUAUGUUAUUAUGUGUGUAUGUGUGUUUAACUGUGUGCGCAUGUGUUUUAACUAUGUGUGUAUGUCAAUUUCAUGGGUAUGAAUUUAGAUCUUGAAACCAACAUUAUCGAUUUUUUAUUUAUAAUUUGAUUGGAUUUAAUUUUGAUUUUCCAGGUUCGGAUUCUUCUCAUUACAUUAUGUUCUUAAACUUAGAGCAAGGAAUUUGGUGGUUAUUUUUCUUCUCAAUGCAGCUAAUUCAACUUUAUGCAUUCAAUUGAGGCUGUUGCUACACUCAAGUUUCUUUCCAUGUUUGUUAUAUACUUUUAAAUAAAAGAUGUUGUUAGCCUAUAUUGAUUAUUUAGUUUAGUAGUUACUUUAUGUUUUAGAUUGUAUCAUGUAUGGAACUUCAAGAUGAAACUCCUAAGAAAAAAAUAAAUAAAUAAGAAGGCAGAAAAAACCCAAGAGGGUGAAUCGUACAAGGUUAAAUGAAAAAAUAGCAAGGUUUGAAAUUACAUAUAACAUCAAGAUCUCUUUUUACCUAAAUCUAACUAUAACAUACAUAGGGUUUGUUAAUGAUUGUGUUAAUGACAUUUAAUAGGUUUGAAAUUGCAUUCUGGUUAUUAUAUCACUGCAUGUAAUCUUGCUUAUUAAGAGGUAAAUGUUGAUACCUCACAAGCACAAGUGUUUUUUUCAUUAUUUAACUUUUCAAGUAAAAAGUCCCGCACAUUGACUAUUUGACAUAUUCAAUGUCGAUUCAUGACAUACUUCAUCUUUUUUUUUUUUUUUUGCUUUUGCUUUAAUGAAGUUGAUGCAAGUUUAUGGUGCAUUGAUGCAAUCACUCAGACACAAGGUUGUAGAAAGAUAUUUCAUUAAGUAUUUGAAUAUGUUCUUUUUAAAUGUCUUCACUGAAAAAAAAAGGUUAGAGGACUACUAAAUUGAUUUAUGCUUCCUAAGAUAUAUACAUGUUUGAUUUUUUUUUUUAGAUUUAGAUUUUUGUUUUGUAUUUUAAUAUUCCAAUGCAUACACUUAAGGUUUGUUGUAGAUUUUUAAGAGUUCGUAUAAAUUUGAAAGGGUUCUGGAAUGGGUUUGGUGGAAAGGGCAUUUUGGUAAAAAAAUAAGGAAAGAAAGAAAUGUAUAUUGGGGUUUCAAAAUUUGUUUUGGGCAUGGCUCAAGUCUUAUUGUUUGAUGCAUGAUGUAUUUAAAGUUAUUAUGCUUGCAUUGUUUGAUGCAGGACGAAGUUAAUCAAACAAAGAUUUAGAAAUAUUUAUUCAAAUUGACGAGUCUACCCUUGAGGCCGAUGGAGUUAUUUACACAAAUAAAGAUGGUGAGGUUUUCAAAAAUAGCAUGCUAUAUUAAGUUAAAAGAACGUACAAUUAUUUUAAUAGGAAAAAAAUGAAAAUAUGCUCCUACAAUAAUAACAAGAUGUUAUUUCUUGCCUUUUGUCUUAUCAAAAUUGAAUUGCUUUUCGGAUCCGGACAAACUGAUAUAGUAUUAUAGCAUUUAACAAAGUCGGUAAAUAACAUCCUUCUAUGUGUCAACCACACGUUAAAUGCGGAAGUAGCAACGUACUUGCAUUUAUUUUUCAACCAUAGUGUCCUACUUUCUUUGUGAAAUAGUGGAACUGCUGAAAAUGCAAAUUUAUAUACAAGCAUUUAUUACAUGUGUUAAGUUAGCAUUGUAACUUCAUAUUCUAAUUUUGAAUUAUAACAUCCUAUUUUCAUAUGUUUUCUGUUAAAGCGUUUGUAUUUUUAGUAAAUAUUUUUUUAAAGAAUUGUACUUUGGAAAACAAAUCCUGUCAAACAUUUUUUUUAGUUUAAUUCUUACUAGCACAUUAUAAUCCUAUCCUUUAUCAGUUUCUAUUUUCUUAGUUGUUAAUGGCUGUGUUAUGUAGAAAAACAAGUUGGAUGAUGGUAUUUGAAGCUCACCCAACGAAUUUAUUUUUGACCGUUAUACUGAAACAUGCUGACUGUUACUGUGGGUUUACCUUUUCAAGAUUUCAGUACAUUUGACUUAUUGGGUCUUGUGAUUAAACAUUUUUUCCACUUUAAACACAUAAAAAAUCAAAGUUGUCUGGAACUCUCAAUUGGGUUGUAUCAACUAUGGUUGGAGUUUUCGCUGCAUGUUAUAUGGAGGCAUAAAGGAAGCCUCUACUUCUGUUGUAAGUAUGAAUGUGCACAAAAAGGUCUUCAUAUGGAGGCAUAUCGGGACAUCUCAUACUUUUAACAUUAUUUAUUGAUUAUGAAAUUAAUUUUAUGUUAUUUUACUUUCUCAUCCGUGGAUUCCACGGGUUAUAAAUAAA
rnacentral:lncRNA from 1 species